CAUUUCAACUGCUUCUGGGUUCCUUGCUUUCUUAAUGCCUGCAUCAUUACGAAAGUUCUCAUCCGUACUAAAAAUAUGUUCAAUGCCUGGUUUGUUAUCACUGUCACAGUCUAAGUUAUUUUCAUGUAAAUGAAGCUUAGAAGAUGACUGGCAAGCAUGUUCCAGGGACCCAGAGUAUGGAUGACAGUAUGGAUGGAUGAUAUUUUUGAGACUGGGUUCUUUUUGUUCAGGAAAUGUCUUGAAUACCACAGAGUCAGAUACUUCAGAUGCAUCUUCUGCCUCACAACCAGUGAAGGAUCUCUUCAAGGAGAAUUACAAACCACUGCUCAAUGAAAUAAAAGAGGACACAAACAAAUAGAAGAACAUUCCAUGCUCAUGGAUAUGAAGAAUCAAUAUAAUGAAAACAGCCAUACUACCCAAGGUAAUUUAUAGAUUUAAUGCCAUCCCCAUCAAGCUACCAAUGACUUUCUUCACAGAACUGGAAAAAGCUACUUUAAAGUUCAUAUGGAACCAAAAAAGAGCCUGCAUUGCCAAGACAAUCCUAAGACAAAAGAACAAAGCUGGAGGCAUCACACUACCUGACUUCAAACUAUACUACAAGGCUACAGUAACCAAAAUAACAUGGUACUGGUACCAAAACAGAGAUAUAGACCAAUGGAACAGAACAGAGCCCUCAGAAAUAAUACCACAUAUCUACAACCAUCUGACCUUUGACAAACCUGAGAAAAACAAGAAAUGGGGAAAGGAUUCCCUAUUUAAUAAAUGGCGCUGGGAAAACUGGUUAGCCACGUGUAGAAAGCUGAAGCUGGAUCCCUUCCUUAAACCUUAGACAAAAAUUAAUUCAAGAUGGAUUAAAGACUUAAAUGUUAAACCUAAAACCAUAACCCUAGAAGAAAACCUAGGCAAUACCAUUUAGGACAUAGGCAUGGGCAAGGACUUCAUGUCUAAAACACCAAAAGCAAUGGCAACAAAAGCCAAAAUAGACAAAUGGGAUCUAAUUAAACUAAAGAGCUUCUGCACAGAAAAAGAAACUACCAUCAGAGUGAAUGGGCAACCUACAGAAUGGGAGAAAAUUUGUGCAAUCUACUCAUCUGACAAAGGGCUAAUAUCCAGAAUCUACAAAGAACUCAAACAAAUUUACAAGAAAAACACAAACAACCCCAUCAAAAAGUGGGCAAAGGAUAUGAACAGACGCUUCUCAAAAGAAGACAUUUAUGCAGCCAACAGACACAUGAAAAAAUGCUCAUCAUCACUGGCCAUCAGAGAAAUGCAAAUCAAAACCUCAAUGAGAUACCAUCUCACACCAGUUAGAAAGGUGAUCAUUAAAAAGUCAGGAAACAACAGGUGCUGUAAAGGAUGUGGAGAGGCCGGGUGCGGUGGCUCACGCCUGUAAUCCCAGCACUUUGGGAGGCCAAGGCAGGCAGAUCACGAGGUCAGGAGAUCGAGACCACGGUGAAACCCCGUUUCUACUAAAAAUACAAAAAAAUUAGCCGGGCGUGGUGGCAGGCGCCUGUAGUCCCAGCUACUCGGAGAGGCUGAGGCAGGAGAAUGGCGUGAACUCGGGAGGCGGAGCUUGCAGUGAGCUGAGAUCAUGCCACUGCACUCCAGCCUGGGUGACAGAGCGAGACUCCGUCUCCAAAAUAAAUAAAUAAAUAAAUAAAUAAAUAAAUAAAUAAAGUGGAGAAAUAGGAACACUUUUACACUGUUGGUGGGACUGUAAACUGGGUCAACUAUGGUGGAAGAAAGUGUGGCGAUUACUCAAGGACCUAGAACUAGAAAACCAUUUGACCCAGCCAUCCCAUUACUGGAUAUAUACCCAAAGGAUUAUAAAUCAUGCUACUAUAAAGACACAUGCACACAUAUGUUUACUGCAGCACUAUUCACAAUAGCAAAGACUUGGAACCAACCCAAAUGUCCAUCAAUGAUAGACUGGAUUAAGAAAAUGUGGCACAUAUACACUGUGGAAUACUAUGCAGCCAUAAAAAGGAUGAGUUCAUGUCCUUUGUAGGGACAUGGAUGAAGCUGGAAACCAUCAUUCUCAGCAAACUAUGGCAGGGACAAAAAAUCAAACACUGACUGCAUGUUCUCACUCAUAGGUGGGAAUUGAACAAUGAGAACACUUGAACACAGGAAGGGGAAACAUCACACACCAGGGCCUGUCGUGGGGUGGGGGAAGGGGGGAGGGUUAGCAUUAGGAGAUAUAUCUAAUGUAAAUGAUGAGUUAAUGGGUGCAGCACACCAACAUGGCACAUGUAUACAUAUGUAACAAACCUGCAUAUUGUGCAUAUGUAUCCUAUAACUUAAAGUAUAAUAAAAAAAUAGUAAAUAUCAA